GAUGAACGCUGGCGGCGUGCCUAAUACAUGCAAGUCGAGCGAACAGACGAGGAGCUUGCUCCUCUGACGUUAGCGGCGGACGGGUGAGUAACACGUGGAUAACCUACCUAUAAGACUGGGAUAACUUCGGGAAACCGGAGCUAAUACCGGAUAAUAUAUUGAACCGCAUGGUUCAAUAGUGAAAGACGGUUUUGCUGUCACUUAUAGAUGGAUCCGCGCCGCAUUAGCUAGUUGGUAAGGUAACGGCUUACCAAGGCAACGAUGCGUAGCCGACCUGAGAGGGGGAUCGGCCACGCUGGAACUGAGACACGGUCCAGACUCCUACGGGAGGCAGCAGUAGGGAAUCUUCCGCAAUGGGCGAAAGCCUGACGGAGCAACGCCGCGUGAGGGAUGAAGGUCUUCGGAUCGUAAAACUCUGUUAUUAGGGAAGAACAAAUGUGUAAGUAACUAUGCACGUCUUGACGGUACCUAAUCAGAAAGCCACGGCUAACUACGUG
rnacentral:rRNA from 1 species